GACGAACGCUGGCGGCGUGCUUAACACAUGCAAGUCGAACGGAAAGGCCCUGCUUUUGUGGGGUGCUCGAGUGGCGAACGGGUGAGUAACACGUGAGUAACCUGCCCUUGCCUUUGGGAUAACUUCAGGAAAUUGGGGCUAAUACCGGAUAGGAGCUCCUGCUGCAUGGUGGGGGUUGGAAAGUUUCGGCGGUUGGGGAUGGACUCGCGGCUUAUCAGCUUGUUGGUGGGGUAGUGGCUUACCAAGGCUUUGACGGGUAGCCGGCCUGGGAGGGUGGCCGGCCACAUUAGGACUGAGAUACGACCCAGACUCCUACGGGAGGCAGCAGAGGGGAGUAUUGCACAAUGGGCGGGAGCCUAAUGCGGCAACGCCGCGUGCGGGAUGACGGCCUUCGGGUUGUGUACCGCUUUCGCCUGUGACGAAGCGUGAGUGACGGUAAUGAGUAAAGAAGCACCGGCUAACUACGUG
rnacentral:rRNA from 1 species